CCUACGGGAGGCUGUAGUGGGGAAUAUUGCACAAUGGGCGCAAGCCUGAUGCAGCCAUGCCGCGUGUGUGAAGAAGGCCUUCGGGUUGUAAAGCACUUUCAGCGGGGAGGAAGGCGGUGAGGUUAAUAACCUCAUCGAUUGACGUUACCCGCAGAAGAAGCACCGGCUAACUCCGUGCCAGCAGCCGCGGUAAUACGGAGGGUGCAAGCGUUAAUCGGAAUUACUGGGCGUAAAGCGCACGCAGGCGGUCUGUCAAGUCGGAUGUGAAACCCCCGGGCUCAACCUGGGAACUGCAUUCGAAACUGGCAGGCUAGAGUCUUGUAGAGGGGGGUAGAAUUCCAGGUGUAGCGGUGAAAUGCGUAGAGAUCUGGAGGAAUACCGGUGGCGAAGGCGGCCCCCUGGACAAAGACUGACGCUCAGGUGCGAAAGCGUGGGGAGCAAACAGGAUUAGAUACCCCAGUAGUC
rnacentral:rRNA from 1 species